rnacentral:lncRNA from 1 species
AGAGAAGCAAUAACAAUGGUGCGAUAUCGACCAAGAUAAGUAUCUGCAACAAAUGCUCCUAGCAAUGGCAACAAAGUCGCAGUCCCGGACCAUGUAUUCACGUUAGCAGCAGCCAUGGCUGUGGACUGGCCCAGUGGUCCGGUGAGAUAGUUUAUAAGAUUCGACCCUAUGCCGUAGUAUGCGAUUCUCUCUGCAACUUCAGCACCUGCGCAUAUAAAUUUAGAGCAGUUUCUAGGGUUUUAUUGUUCUUAGAGAAAUAAUAAUCGGUUUCAAGAUUUAUUGCAUAAAGUAUAAAAAGAGAAGUACAGAUCAUGUAUUUCUGAUCACGUCCCAAUAAGUUUACCUAUGAUGAAAUAUGCAGAUCUCCAAGCACCAGAGCUGGAUCUCGUGGCUGGACAGCCUUUGUGGUCGACCAUUCUGUCAAUUGUGUCUUCCAGCACUGGAGAUUCCCGGCCUUCAACUAUCU